UCGACAUCAUCUAGCAGUGUGUCACCAUCUACAACAUCGACAUCGUCAAGCAGUUUGUCACCAUCUACAACAUCGGCAUCAUCUAGUAGUGUGACACCAUCUACAACAUCGACACCGUCAACUGGCAGCUCUAAUACAGAAGUGACUGUUUAUAUUGGAUUAAAACUCAAUGGCUUGGUGUACGAAGAAAACAUGAAGAACGAAAGUUACUGCAGGGAGAAAUUAAGUGGGGUAA